ACGAACGCUGGCGGCGUGCUUAACACAUGCAAGUCACGGGGGUCCCGCAAGGGAUAACCGGCGAACGGGUGCGUAACACGUGAACAACCUGCCCUCGUGUGGGGGAUAGCCAUGCUAACGCGUGGGUAAUACCGCAUACGGUCCUCUGGGGGAGUCCCUGGGGGAAGAAAGCUCCGGCGCACGGGGAGGGGUUCGCGGCCUAUCAGCUAGUUGGGGGUAGUAGCCGACCAA
rnacentral:rRNA from 1 species